CUAUGUUGUUUUGUAAAUUCGGCUGCUAAAGCCUAUAAAAUACACGAAAACUGUUCAAUGAUCGGUUCACAUUUCUGUUCUGUUGUCGCGGGCAUUAGUUACUGCAAUUGGCGCUGUAAAGAAUAUAAAAUUAAAGAUGAAAAGUUCAAGCCUCAUUCUCUUAUGUUGUAUGUGCAUUAUACUUUCAUCAUUUGUGGUUGAAGUAUCUGAAGCUGCUCAACUUCGUCGUAGAUGGUGGUUAUGGAGCAAUCCACCUACUAAAGCGCCCGCUAAAGCAACACUAGGAAAAACGGCCGAUGACGAAUUUCUUGCGUAUUUUGAGGACAAAUAAAACAUAUGACUAAAGGAACUCGACGGAAAUUAACUCGAGACGAUUGCGUGCACGGAAUUUUUAAGGAUUUUGCAUUGUUUUUAGUUUUUGGUCAAUCGUAACGAAAUAAAGUUUUACAUGAAUGUCGUGUAUGGU